rnacentral:rRNA from 1 species
CGCUUUGUGGUUCAACUGAUUUGAAGAGCUUGCUCAGAUAUGACGAUGGACAUUGCAAAGAGUGGCGAACGGGUGAGUAACACGUGGGAAACCUACCUCUUAGCAGGGGAUAACAUUUGGAAACAGAUGCUAAUACCGUAUAACAAUAGCAACCGCAUGGUUGCUACUUAAAAGAUGGUUCUGCUAUCACUAAGAGAUGGUCCCGCGGUGCAUUAGUUAGUUGGUGAGGUAAUGGCUCACCAAGACGAUGAUGCAUAGCCGAGUUGAGAGACUGAUCGGCCACAAUGGGACUGAGACACGGCCCAUACUCCUACGGGAGGCAGCAGUAGGGAAUCUUCCACAAUGGGCGAAAGCCUGAUGGAGCAACGCCGCGUGUGUGAUGAAGGGUUUCGGCUCGUAAAACACUGUUGUAAGAGAAGAAUGACAUUGAGAGUAACUGUUCAAUGUGUGACGGUAUCUUACCAGAAAGGAACGGCUAACUACGUGC